rnacentral:rRNA from 1 species
CCAUGUCCUCAUAUCACCACACCACUCUGAUCUCAUCUGAUUUCUGAAGCUAAGCAAGGUCAGACCAGGUUAUUAUUGGGAUGGGGGACCACGAGGCCAUACUACAGGCAAGGG